rnacentral:miRNA from 1 species
UUGCCCUUUUUAAGCAGGGC